rnacentral:rRNA from 1 species
UUAAGUUAACAAGGGCGCAUGGUGAAUGCCUUGGCACUAGGAGCCGAUGAAGGACGGGACUAACACCGAUAUGCUUCGGGGAGCUGUACGUAAGCUAUGAUCCGGAGAUUUCCGAAUGGGGCAACCCAGCAGUUUUAAUCAACUGUUACCACUAGAUGAAUUCAUAGUCUAGUUGGAGGUAAACGCUGUGAACUGAAACAUCUCAUUAGCAGCAGGAAUAUAAAGAAAUUUCGAUUCCCUAAGUAGCGGCGAGCGAACGGGGAACAGCCCAAACCAAAGUGCUUGCACUUUGGGGUUGUAGGACUGAACAUUUGAGUUACCAAAGAACUUGAUAGUCGAAGGAUUUGGGAAAAUCCGCCAUAGAUGGUGAUAGCCCAGUAGAUUAAAUCAAAUUCUCUCAGUUCAGGAUCCUGAGUACGGCGGAACACGUGAAAUUCCGUCGGAAUCCGGGAGGACCAUCUCCCAAGGCUAAAUACUACCUAGUGACCGAUAGUGAACCAGUACCGUGAGGGAAAGGUGAAAAGCACCCCGGGAGGGGAGUGAAAUAGUUCCUGAAACCAUGUGCCUACAAUAAGUCAGAGCGCGUUAAUGCGUGAUGGCGUGCCUUUUGUAGAAUGAACCGGCGAGUUAUAAUCCCGUGCAAGGUUAAGACUAAAAAGUCGGAGCCGUAGCGAAAGCGAGUCUGAAAUGGGCGUUUUGAGUACGAGGUUAUAGACCCGAAACCAGGUGACCUAUCCAUGUCCAGGUUGAAGGUGCGGUAAAACGCACUGGAGGACCGAACCCGUGUAAGUUGAAAAUUGCUGGGAUGAGGUGUGGAUAGCGGUGAAAUUCCAAACGAACUUGGAGAUAGCUGGUUCUCUCCGAAAUAGCUUUAGGGCUAGCCUCGGAAUUAGGAUCAUGGAGGUAGAGCACUAUUUGGACUAGGGGCCCGUCUUGGGUUACUGAAUUCAGAUAAACUCCGAAUGCCAUUGAUUCAUAUCCGGGAGUCAGACGAUGAGUGAUAAGAUCCACCGUCGAAAGGGGAACAGCCCAGACCAUCAGUUAAGGUCCCUAAAUGUAUGCUAAGUGGAAAAGGAUGUGGAGUUGCAUAGACAACUAGGAUGUUGGCUCAGAAGCAGCCACCAUUUAAAGAGUGCGUAAUAGCUCACUAGUCGAGUGAUCCUGCGCCGAAAAUGUACCGGGGCUAAGCAUACUACCGAAACCAUGGAUGCGACCAUUAGGUCGCGUGAUAGGAGAGCGUUCUAAGGGCGGUGAAGCAAGAUCGUGAGGACUUGUGGAGCGCUUAGAAGUGAGAAUGCCGGUAUGAGUAGCGAAAGAUAGGUGAGAAUCCUAUCCACCGAAUGACUAAGGUUUCCUGGGGAAGGCUCGUCCUCCCAGGGUUAGUCGGGACCUAAGUCGAGGCCGAGAGGCGUAGACGAUGGAUAACAGGUUGAGAUUCCUGUACUAGUUAAGUGCGUUUGAGCAAUGGAGGGACGCAGGAGGCUAAGAUGUGCAUUCUGUUGGAUUAGAAUGUCCAAGCAGUAAGUCUUGUGAAGAGUCAAAUGCUUUUCACUUUAAGGACAAGCUGUGAUGGGGAGCGAAAUUUAGUAGCGAAGCGUCUGAUGUCACACUGCCGAGAAAAGCUUCUAGUGAGUACUUAACUACCCGUACCGCAAACCGACACAGGUAGUCGAGGAGAGAAUCCUAAGGUGAGCGAGUGAACUCUCGUUAAGGAACUCGGCAAAAUGACCCCGUAACUUCGGGAGAAGGGGUGCUGAUCGCAAGAUCAGCCGCAGUGAAUAGGCCCAGGCGACUGUUUAUCAAAAACACAGGUCUCUGCAAAAUCGUAAGAUGACGUAUAGGGGCUGACGCCUGCCCGGUGCUGGAAGGUUAAAAGGAUGGGUUAGCUUCGGCGAAGCUCAGAAUUGAAGCCCCAGUAAACGGCGGCCGUAACUAUAACGGUCCUAAGGUAGCGAAAUUCCUUGUCGGGUAAGUUCCGACCCGCACGAAAGGCGUAACGAUCUGGGCACUGUCUCAACGAGAGACUCGGUGAAAUUAUAUUGUCCGUGAAGAUGCGGACUACCCGCGACAGGACGGAAAGACCCCAUGGAGCUUUACUGUAGCUUGAUAUUGAGUGUUUGUACAGCUUGUACAGGAUAGGUAGGAGCCAUAGAAACCGGAACGCUAGUUUCGGUGGAGGCGUUGGUGGGAUACUACCCUCGCUGUAUGACCACUCUAACCCGCACCACUAAUCGUGGUGGGAGACAGUGUCAGGUGGGCAGUUUGACUGGGGCGGUCGCCUCCUAAAAAGUAACGGAGGCGCCCAAAGGUUCCCUCAGAAUGGUUGGAAAUCAUUCGCAGAGUGUAAAGGCACAAGGGAGCUUGACUGCGAGACAGACAGGUCGAGCAGGGACGAAAGUCGGGCUUAGUGAUCCGGUGGUACCGUAUGGAAGGGCCAUCGCUCAACGGAUAAAAGCUACCCUGGGGAUAACAGGCUUAUCUCCCCCAAGAGUCCACAUCGACGGGGAGGUUUGGCACCUCGAUGUCGGCUCAUCGCAUCCUGGGGCUGUAGUCGGUCCCAAGGGUUGGGCUGUUCGCCCAUUAAAGCGGUACGCGAGCUGGGUUCAGAACGUCGUGAGACAGUUCGGUCCCUAUCCGUCGCGGGCGUAGGAAAUUUGAGAGGACCUGUUCUUAGUACGAGAGGACCGGGAUGGACAUACCUCUGGUGUACCAGUUGUGCCGCCAGGCGCAUCGCUGGGUAGCUACGUAUGGAUGUGAUAAACGCUGAAAGCAUCUAAGUGUGAAACACACCUCGAGAUGAGAUUUCCCAUUCCUUUAUGGAAGUAAGACCCCUGAAAGAUGAUCAGGUAGAUAGGUUAGAAGUGGCAGUGCGGUGACGCAUGAAGCGGACUAAUACUAAUCGGUCGAGGACUUAACC